AGCGUCUGUUCACGUCAGGCAAUGUAAUUAAAGAAGCCGAAAGAUAAGAAGAAGAAGGGACCAGGCAAAUAAGGAGUAAUGCAAACGGGGCAAUUACAUCAANCUUACAUCAACUGAUACGAAUCCUCGCUUGGUCCGGUGGUAACAAGGCUAAAGGUAACUCCCUUAGCCGAAUAAAGGAAUAAAGAAAGCCCAUAAUGGAAUAGCCGACCGGGAAAGAUCUCUGAACAACUUGCAGGAAGAGGUUGAGAAGAAGACAAUGAAUGGAAUGGUCCGGCAGUCGCUAUAAAAUAUCGCCUUUAUUUAUUAUACUUAAAUUCAAAAAUGAGGUUAGAAC
rnacentral:misc_RNA from 1 species